UACGUAGGGUGCGAGCGUUAAUCGGAAUUACUGGGCGUAAAGCGUGCGCAGGCGGUCUUCCAAGUCAGUGGUGAAAGCCUGGAGCUCAACUCCAGAACUGCCAUUGAAACUGUUAGACUUGAGUACGAGAGAGGUGAGUGGAAUUCCCAGUGUAGAGGUGAAAUUCGUAGAUAUUGGGAAGAACACCAGUGGCGAAGGCGGCUCACUGGCUCGUAACUGACGCUCAGGCGCGACAGCGUGGGGAUCAAACAGG
rnacentral:rRNA from 1 species